GGGGGAGAUUAGUCACGGGGAACUCUUGUAUAUACCAAACAGGCAAGAGACUUAUUGCAGUUUAUCAGUGCCAUUUUACUAAAAACUCCCGGUGAGACAGAAAUACUCAAGUUUUUCGGACAGGUCUUCCUCUCACAGGUCUGCCUCCCCUGUCUAUUGUCUUCUUACAUACUUUAUACUUCACCCAUUUAUUAUUUGUUUCCCAUUUAUUUGUCUCCCCACUAUAAAAUAUGCUUCACAAGUCUUGGAUUUUUUUUUGUCUUUUUAGUUAAUCGAUGUAUCUCAAGUGCCUAGACUAGUGUCUGGCAUUUGCAGGUGUUCAGUAUAUAUUUAUUGAAUUAAUAAAUAUGGAAAAGCCUAAUGAUAAAGCAAGAAAAUAUCAGAAAGGGGAUUGGAGAGCGCAGGAUUAGAAAAAAGGGUGUUAGAUAUUCCCAGUGAAAAGUAUUAUUAAAUUUUGUUGGCUUGAUAUGCUCCAUUUCAGUAUAGGAAGAUACUGAAUGGACUGUUCAUACAUUCAUUCAUUUUUUUCAGCCAUUCAGCACACUAUUUACUCUUGCAGUGUUUUUUGUAGAUAUUUCUGUCUUUACUCUGAUAAAAUUUGUAUUCCAUAUUGUUGUUCUUGGACCUCUGUCUCUUACCUUUUCUGUCUUCUGUCUGAGAAAUCAUAAUUUCUGUUACUGUUUAGUUGAUCAUACAUUUACUGAACAUCCUUCACACUGUGCUAGGUAAUGGCAUUUAUAGAUGAGUAAAACAUCAUUCUUUCCUUUAAACAGUUCAUGAUUUGGAGAUGAGAUAGAAGUAAACAAGGAAGUAAGUACAGCAAUAGAAGUGUGUACUAUGCAGAACAGUAGCAUGGAGGAAGGAGCGCUUUACUGUCUACAGCAGUUAAAGAUUUCCUCAGGAGGUGAUGUCUACCAUGAACA
rnacentral:lncRNA from 1 species